CUCUUUGCAAAUACCCGCGAGAGAACCAUCAUCAUCAUCGACGCCGAUUUGGGAGCGUCGACAGUGGCGCCUCGAAAAGCGUGGCGCGAGAGAGUGUGGCCCGUGGCCCGUGGCAUGAGCAUUGCGCGAGGUUCGGCGGUCGACGGAAAACAGCUUCCUCGCUGGGCGUCUGGCCCAUAGGAGCUAUCGCCGACCGCGCCAAUUCGCCACCCCUGAAGCAACACUGUCGCCCGCUGGGAGGUUACCAAGCCCCGCUCUUCCGCUGGGCACUGGUCCAGGAGGGCUGGCGGUCCGGAACCGGGGCGCUCGAGCGUUCGGGUGAGCGGCCACAGGGCUACCCCGCCAGCUGUGGACGCGACCCGGUGACUGCGGCCGGCUACCUGAGCCCCGCAAGGCGGUCCGACCCGGUAGUCCAACCCGGCUGUCCGACCCAGCUGUCCGACCCGGCCGUCCGAUCCACCUGUCCGACUCAGCCGUCCUACACGGCUGUCCGAGCCGCCGGCCGACACUGUUGUCCGACCCCGCUGGCCGGCAUCGGUUCAACGAGGUCUCAUACACGGCGACCUACGCUUCCGCCGGAACUAUGGAGGACUUGUCUGAUCUCUGCGACGAGCUGCUCAUGGGAUCCGUGACGUAGAACGGACGCGCGUCAGCGCGCAGCGGGCGUCUCCCACGCAAGGGCCGACCUUACAAAGCCCGCUACUCCAAGACCAGCGAUGGGCCGUCCAGCAGGCCCGCGCAGUGGCCGCCAGCGAACGCGCUCCAAGCCAGACAGUGACGUAGUCGUGUCCCUACGCCUACGUAGUCGGGGCCGCAGUGUGACGUCGCUCGAGGUGACACGUGACUUCGAUAAUUAUUCAAG